CCAAUAGCGUAUAUUAAAGUUGCUGCAGUUAAAAAGCUCGUAGUUGGAUUUCGGAACCAAUAUGUUGGUUGUGCCUCGGUACGUACUGGCAUUGUUGGUUUCUCCCUUCUGACGAACUAUGAUGUCAUUAAUUUGGUGUCAUGGGGAAUCAGGACUGUUACUUUGAAAAAAUUAGAGUGUUUAAAGCAGGCUCACGCUUG
rnacentral:rRNA from 2 species